rnacentral:lncRNA from 1 species
CUUAUGGAUAUCCGUUAAACUACCUAUCCUGUUCGUGUGACGGAUUUUAUCCGCUAUUAUCGAUCAACGGGCACUGAUUUUUUGCCAUCCCUAGUAUACUUUUAAUUCAAGGAAUAUAAAAGUCAGCUACGGUUGAGUUGAGGUUAAAAUUCUAGGCAGCAGAGAUCGAAACACCAUUUAUAGAAAUUGUUUCCAAGUCACAGAAGAAAAGGAACUCACAUACUUUACAGAAAACUUCACUCAGAACCCGCUCUCGUCCACCAUUUAAAUGAAUAUAAGUGUUUCAUGACACAGUGUGGUUCUGGAGAAAUUUGUUGUUUCAUGAAACGGUGUGGUUCACUUUGUUGCCUCCAUCUUUGGGGGAAGAUUUUGCUAGGGACAAGAAUGGGAUGCCGAACUUUAUUUCCUUAAUUACUUAUGUUCCUAAUUUUCUGUAUAUAUUUCUUUUUCUUUUGAGGAUAUUGGCUUAGUCCCCGCUCUUUGUAAAUUUUUUUCUUUUUUUAAUAAAAUUUACGUAUUGAAAAGGCGGUAAAUAAUGGGGAAUUUGUUGGGUGCCAACCUAAUUAGGAUGCUUCAAAUUCUCCCAAAUACCCAACCUUUCUCUUGGCCUUAUCGAAAAAAAAGAUUAAAAUUCUAGAAUUUUCCGCCAAGCAUUCCAGUGAAAAAUUUU